rnacentral:misc_RNA from 1 species
CAAGCACCUCGGUAGGUGAGGCGUCUGCACGGACACAGGCCACUGACCCCGAACGUCGAGAGACGCCCCGGGUCAGGACAGCUCUUCCCGGACACAAGGGUUGAGCCCAAGUGGCUUCUGGACGAGGAGUGAUCGCAAGCGCGGCGAAGC